GAUGAACGCUGGCGGCGUGCCUAAUACAUGCAAGUCGAGCGAACAGACGAGGAGCUUGCUCCUCUGACGUUAGCGGCGGACGGGUGAGUAACACGUGGAUAACCUACCUAUAAGACUGGGAUAACUUCGGGAAACCGGAGCUAAUACCGGAUAAUAUAUUGAACCGCAUGGUUCAAUAGUGAAAGACGGUUUUGCUGUCACUUAUAGAUGGAUCCGCGCCGCAUUAGCUAGUUGGUAAGGUAACGGCUUACCAAGGCAACGAUGCGUAGCCGACCUGAGAGGGUGAUCGGCCACACGAGACCUGAGACCCGGCCCAGCUCCUACCGGGAGCCAGCGGAAGGAAACUUCCGGAAAUGGCGGAAAGCUUGAGGGAGAAACGCGGGGGGAGGGAGGAAGUCUUUCGGUCCGUAAAACUUGGUUAUUGGGAAAGAACAAAUUGUAAAGUACUAAGCACCGCUUGGCGGGACCUAAACAGAAAGCCACGGCUAACUACGUG
rnacentral:rRNA from 1 species